rnacentral:misc_RNA from 1 species
CAAUUUUUCUCCUCAUAGUGUAGCCUCUUCCAUUCUCCUUCAAAGUAUAACGUUCACUAUUUCAACUCAAAACAAGGAACCAGCAUUGUGAUCGUUAUCAUAAUGACUCUAUACUUGACACACAUGGACAUGGACAGAUGCAGAGGAAGACCCUGCAUAUUGAUAUGGGGUGAGCAGCAACAAAAAUUUGGUUCUGAACAUUCACCUCAUGAAAAG